GGUAGUCCAGACCGUAAACGUUGGGCACUAGUUGUGGGAACCUUCCACGGUUUCUGCGACGCAGCUAACGCAUUAAGUGCCCCGCCUGGGGAGUACGAUCGCAAGAUUAAAACUCAAAGGAAUUGACGGGGCCCCGCACAAGCAGCGGAGCAUGCGGCUUAAUUCGACGCAACGCGAAGAACCUUACCAAGGCUUGACAUAUAGAGAAAAGUGGCAGAGAUGUCAUGUCCGCAAGGGCUCUAUACAGGUGGUGCAUGGUUGUCGUCAGCUCGUGUCGUGAGAUGUUGGGUUAAGUCCCGCAACGAGCGCAACCCUCGUUCUGUGUUGCCAGCAUUUAGUUGGGGACUCACAGGAGACUGCCGGGGUUAACUCGGAGGAAGGUGGGGAUGACGUCAAAUCAUCAUGCCCCUUAUGUCUUGGGCUGCACGCAUGCUACAAUGGCCGGUACAGAGGGCUGCAAUACCGUAAGGUGGAGCGAAUCCCAAAAAGCCGGUCUCAGUUCGGAUUGAGGUCUGCAACUCGACCUCAUGAAGUUGGAGUUGCUAGUAAUCGUAGAUCAGCAUCGCUACGGUGAAUACGUUCCCGGGGCUUGUACACACCGCCCGUCACGUCACGAAAGUCGGUAACACCCAAAGUCAGUGGCCCAACCGCAAGGAGG
rnacentral:rRNA from 1 species